AUUUCCUCCAGGCAACAAUGUGCUCCUGAUAUGAAAGCUGACAUUAGAACUGGUAACAAAGGAGCAGGAGCUGGUGUAAUACACAGGGGUAUCGCCCCUGGAACUCAAGAGUCCAACAGAUGCAAUUACAAAGCAGAAGGUGCAGGAGUCUGCCUACUCUGUGGAAAUGAGGUGACGCCUUCAUCACAGCCAGGAGCCAGGCUGAAAAUUAUUGUCUCUGAGACAGCACAAAACUCAGACUGCAGAAAGUUCUUUUUUUGGACAACUUCAAAGCUGAACUUUGUAUUUGAGAGAUGGAAGCAUGCAACUAAAUGCAUCUGCAUAUACGCUGCCUCACUUUAUCUGGGGAGUAACAAACCGGGUGACAGAAACAAUGCACUGGCUUAAAAAUGAUGAACUUCUUUUUUUCUUUUUCUUAUUAAAACAGGACAAGGAAGUCAUGCUCCUGAAAGUGAAGCAAAGCUGACAGACAAAAACAAAAACAAAAACAUAUCUAACACAUACUGUAAUUCAGAAACCUGGAUUCCUCAUCUGCCCAGCAUUCCACAUUUCUCUG
ensembl:lncRNA